rnacentral:misc_RNA from 1 species
AACGCACCUUGCGCUCCUUGGUAUUCCGAGGAGCAUGCCUGUUUGAGUGUCUUGAAAUCAUCAAACCCUCGCCGUUUUUUGCGUGCGGGGUGUUCGGAGUUGGGGGCUUUGCCGUUCCGGCUCCCCCGAAAAGCGUCGGUCGCGAGCCUUGCGAUGCAGAUUUAGGGCGUUGUAACCAUCCUCGCUCAUCCGAUCUAGCUCGCGCAAACGCUCCGGCCUCGACCUGCCGAUCUAGUGCGGCGGUCAACACUUUCUGAAAUCUGACCUCAAAUCAGGUAGGACUACCCGCUGAACUUAA